UACGUAGGGUGCGAGCGUUGUCCGGAAUUACUGGGCGUAAAGCGCGCGUAGGCGGCUUUGUAAGUUAGAGGUGAAAGCCUGGAGCUCAACUUCAGAAUUGCCUUUAAGACUGCAUCGCUUGAAUCCGGGAGAGGUGAGUGGAAUUCCGAGUGUAGAGGUGAAAUUCGUAGAUAUUCGGAAGAACACCAGUGGCGAAGGCGGCUCACUGGCCCGAUACUGACGCUGAGGCACGAAAGCGUGGGGAGCAAACAGG
rnacentral:rRNA from 1 species